rnacentral:rRNA from 1 species
GACGAACCGUGCGAACGUUAUUCGGAAUCACUGGGCUUAAAGGGCGCGUAGGCGGGUUCUCAAGUCAGGGGUGAAAUCCCGGGGCUCAACCUCGGAACUGCCUUUGAUACUGCAAGUCUCGAGUCCGAUAGAGGUGGGUGGAAUUCCUAGUGUAGAGGUGAAAUUCGUAGAUAUUAGGAAGAACACCGGUGGCGAAGGCGGCCCACUGGAUCGGUACUGACGCUGAGGUGCGAAAGCGUGGGGAGCAAACAGG